rnacentral:piRNA from 1 species
UCCUAAAAGUAGAUGAGCAGGGACUUUCCA